rnacentral:rRNA from 1 species
GUGCCAGCAGUCGCGGUUAUACAAAGAAUUCAAAUAAACUUUAUUAGUUUUUAGUUAAAUGAUUUAUUUGAUUUAUAAUUAAAGUGGUUUUUUUUAGGUGAAAUUUUAAAUAUCAUUUAUUUAUAGGUUUAUAUUAAAAAUUGAAGCUUAGAAGAUUUGAGGUUAAACUAGGAUUAGAUACCCUAUUAUUUGAGAAGUACUAUAAUUAAUAAACUAGAGUAGUAAUAGUUAUUGUCUUGAAACUUAAAGAAUUUGGCGGUAUUUUAGUCUAUUCAGAGGAACCUGUUAAUUAAUCGAUGAUCCACGAUGGACCUAACUUAAUUUUGUUAUAUAUACAACUUGUAUACCGCCGUUAUUGAAGAUUUUAUUAGAAAAAUAAUUUUCUAGAGUUUAAUUAAAGAACUUAUGUCAGGUCAAGGUGCAGUUUAUAAUUAAGUUUAUAAUGGGUUACAAUAAGAUUACUUAAACGAAUAUUAGAUUUAAUUUUUUAAUUGAAGGUGGAUUUGAUAGUAAAAUUAUAAAGAUAAAUAAUUUGACUAUAGCUCUAAAAUAUGUACAUAUCGCCCGUCGCUCUUACUAUUAAAGUAAGAUAAGUCGUAACAUAGUAGAUGUACUGGAAAGUGUAUCUAGAAUUU